GAAAAUCCGUAACGAGAAUCGGACACUAUGAAGAAAAGCUAAAUCGUGACUUGUACCAUUAUCACUUUGAGAAAUUAACUUUUUCGUAUUUUCAAUGGCCGAAAAUGAGAUCAAAAUUGGUGAUAUAUUUUCCGGAUAAAGUUGAUCAAAAUCCACUCACAUUGCAGUCUCUUGGUAUUUAGCUGGACGAGGUCCAUCCGUCGAUUCGUGUUUCUCACAUGAACGGACUUCCGGGGUAAUUCGAGUUGCCUGGAAAACUGAACAAUAAUCAACAAGUGGUUAAUAUUUCUGCCAUUUGAAUGUAUUAUAAAUCGACUUGCUAAUAAUUAACGUAAUUCAAUACGAGAAUAAUAAAAAAUUAUCUCUUA